CUCCUUCAGAUCGAACUAUGCUUCUGUUUCUUCCUCAGAGGCGCCUGGUUCAAUCUCAACCAGCUGGUUCGUCAGAUUCAAGGGCAGAGAUGGAAGAGAUGGGUUGGUUUUUUGGAUGUCUGCAUCUGGAGGCUUCGAUAUUUUUAUAGAGCGUCAUUGUUUUCUUCGUCAAUCACCGACUUCCUUGCCUUCUUCUCCAUCAGCUUCAGUGUUCACCGACUUCCUUGCCUUCUUCUUCUCCAUCAGUUUCGGUUUCCAUUCGUUAUCCCCGUCUGCUACUCGCCUGGCCUUAGCCUCUGUUCUUUCAUCCGUGCCCCUGUUCUGUGCUUGAAUACACCAAAAAGCAAGGGACUAGACAUUUGGAUUCUGCUGUCAUUUUCGAGCUUGGAUACACUAAAAAGCAAGGGACUAGACAUUUGGAUUCUGCUGUCAUUUUUGAGCUUUUGCAUACGUGUUGCUACAAGUGGUUAAUAAUUUCUCUUAUUACAGACAUCAAUCUGUUUUCGGGAAAUUGAAAUCUUCGUUGAUGAUGUCGAAGAGAACUAGAAAUACGACGAGAAAACAAAUCAUGCAACAACCUCAUAAUCUCAUCAUUUCAAAUGAUAUACAAGUCCCAAAUAAAAAUGUUUAUCAUAUUGAUGAUAAACAUCCAAGCGAGAAUUCCUAUCAACAACCAUCAAAACAUUUCUCAAGUUGAUAACAAAAAACAAAAAUGUGUUGGAAAUACAUUAUCUAUCAAUGUGAAUACAGUUGAAACAACAACAGAUGAAAUUGAGUUUCAUCAUUUUCAUCAAAUGCGUCAAGGUCAAGCGAUCUUUCAAAGAAACAGGCAAGAUAGAUGCAAUACAAGCUAGCAUCAAAGAUAUCGACUAUGAUUUCAUAGCUCCAAAAAUAAAAGCUGGUAGCAUUUAUGAAAUAACACAUUUCCACACUGGUCGCAACAAACCAUCACACAAAGUUGUACCACAUGUUGCACAGUUAUUCUUCAAAGCGAGAACAAUUUUCAAAGAACUACCAACCAUUCACGCACACAUUCCAAGGCAUCGGUUUUAUCUGGUCGAUUAUACUCAAUUAUCCACUCGCAUAGGCAAAAUUGACAUCCUAACAGAUGUUUUUGGACACAUUACUGGAAUACAGCCAUUGGAACAAAAAAUGGUCGGCCAUGAGAGGCUUGAGAAUAAAUAUGAACUUUGCAUUGAAAAUAUCAGGAAAGAAGAUGUUAGAAUUACCCUGUGGGGAGAUACUACAAAGACUUCUGAUUCUCAAGCUUUACAACAAUUGACAUCGCCAAUAUUUGCAGCUUUUACAAGACUGAAAGUAAACAAUUUCAAGCAUUUCUCUAAGUCAUGCUCAAACCAAAAACAAAUCUGAAAGAACUGUUACUACAAAAAGCAUGGAGAAAAUUGUAUCAGAUUCUAAUUUACCAAUCAUUGGCUUAAAGAAGAAAACAAGCGAAGGCAGUUUGUCUACCAAUUCUCCUGCCCCAAGAUUAGAGUUUGUAUUCUCUCUUUUAGGAUUCACUCAUCUCAUUCAAAUACAUAUUACAUGCAUAACAUUCAAUUAUUCAUACAUUCAUUCUUCAGUCAAUCUUUAUAUAUUAAAUUGUAACAAAUUGUGUUGAAUUUGACAAAAUCAUCAUUUUUGUGAUAUUCUGAUUGAUGCUUUGUUUUAAUAUUAGGUUCCUUUCAAUUAAUGUAUUAUAAAAUUAUCUCUAUUUAUUAUAUAGGUCUAAAAACCAUUUAAACCACUAUUGAAUUACAUAUAAAUGAAAUUUUUGCAUGCUGAACAUUUGGGAAUACUAUUAAAUUGUCAUAU